rnacentral:lncRNA from 1 species
GGAAAACCAUCUUCAUACAGCAGGACAACGCAAAGCCUCAUAUCUUACCCAAUGACCCAAAAAAUUUGGCAGCAGUCGAAAGCAUAGUACUAGAUAUCAGACUAAUUCAGCAGCCUGCCAAUAGCCUUGAUUUGAAUGGGCUUGACCUUGGAUUCUUCAGUUCGUUGCAAUCUCUGACAGAUUGUGUAAGCCCAAGAACCUUUCAAGACCUUAUUCAGGGGGUGUUGGAAGAAUUUGAAAACUAUGAGGUUUACAAGCUGAACAGAGUUUUCUUAUCCCUACAGGCUUGCAUGAUUGAAAAUUUGAACCAUGCAGGGGGCAAUGGCUAUAAAAUACCUCAUGUGAACAAGGAAAGGCUCGAGUCUCUUGGGGUGCUACCGCUAAGACUUGCAUGCCCUCAAGAGGUUUACGCAAAUGCCAUACACAACCUACAACUAAUGGAAUGCUAGAGAUGCUUGUUGUUGAGAUGAGGCUUGUUGUCGAGAUGCUAGAGAUGCUUGUUGUUGAGAUGAGGCUUGUUGUCGAGAUGCUAGAGAUGCUUGUUGUUGAGAUGAGGCUUGUUGUCGAGAUGCUAGAGAUACUUGUUGUUGAGAUGAGGCUUGUUGUUGAGAUGAGGAUUAUUGUCGAGAUGCUAGAGAUACUUGUUGUUGAGAUGAGGCUUGCGUGGAGUAUGUUUAAACCCUAGAGAUGAGGCUUAUUAAUAUGUUGGUAUGCUUGUGUGGAGUAAAUGAUAUGCAUAUCAUCCUGAAAAUGUUUCUAGAAUUUGAAUUUAAGUUGCUGCAAAGUUUUUUGAAUUUUUCGAUUUUUGAAAAAAUUCAUUUAGUUUUAUUACCACAAAACUUUUCAUUUAGAUUAACAAAAAAAUCAUUAAUGGAAGAUGCUUGAGAUGCUUGAGAAGAGAAGAGAAAAGAAGAAAGAACAGAAAAUAAUGUCCAGUUAAGGAGAAGUUUCAGUUGAAGUCUCAGCUAAAUCAGUUGGAGAAAGAGGGGAGAAGACAGAAGAAAGAGAAGAGAAGAGUAAGAGAAGAGGGAAGAAGAGAGCAAGAAUAUGGAGGGCACAGGAGGAGGAAACUAGAGUAGCUCUCCUCUUCUUGCAAGUCCAAACUGAUUUAUUGGUAGUUGAAAAAAUACUUCAAGCAACCAUUAUUGUGAUUAUUGACAGUUUAUUUACAGUUUACAGAAUUGUUUAUUGACAGUUGACAAAAUACAGUUGGGCAGAAUGAACAUAGACAUUUUAUGAUUAUUGACAUAAUUGUUUAUUUUUAUGAUUAUUGGGUAGAAUAAACAUAAACAUUUUAUGAUUACAGUUGAAAUAAUCAAAUCAGUUGGGCAGAAUAAACUUCCGUGAGUACUCUCAACAAUUCUACUACAUGCUUACAACACUACUAACUAGAAAAAUUGAUAGAAGUACAAGCACUUGGGGAGUACUCAUCUUGUUGUAGCUCGUCGUCAUUGUCAUGGUCGACGAACUCCUAGGUGACGACGGCGUCAUCACAGACCAUGCACCAUCUUCUCCAGCAUCAAUAGCUGAAAUUGAAAUUUGAAUUUUCAGAUUUUUCAAAAGUUUCAUUUAAUUUUAUUACCACAAAAGUUUUCAUUUACUCCACAAAUGUAAGUCUCAUUCACUUUUGGAGUAGAUUCAGUUAAAGUCUGAUUCUGUCUCCGCAAAAGUUUUCAUUUAAUGAUGAGGCUUGUUGAUUGUCUCCACAAAUGAUGAUAUGCUUGUGUGAAGAUUCAGUUUCCAAGUUACUGCAAGCAGCGCUAGUUGUUUGAGUUAAAUUCAGUUAACAAUAUGUACUGUUUGAGUUAAAUUCAGUUAACAGUAAUACUGAAUCUAAAUUCAGUUAAAUUCAGUAAUUCAGUUAACAAUAUGUAUUGUUUGAGUUAAAUUCAGUUGGAGUUAAAUUCAGUUAAAGUCUCAGUUAAAUUCAGUUGGAUAACGUGCGUAGGAGCAAGACAACAAUACAGUUGCGUGCAGAAUUACCAUAUCCUAGUGUCAAUUCUUUGAGCAUUUACUAUAGGAGGUUGGAAAUAAUACUCCCUCUGACAGCAAAAUUCCCCUUACAACUUCAGAGAAACAAACAUCAUAGGAGGUUGGAGAUGAUAUUCAGCAAGAGGUUGGAGAUGAUAUUCAGCAAGAGGUUGAGAGCAUCAGCAGACAAC